UACGUAGGUGGCAAGCGUUGUCCGGAAUUAUUGGGCGUAAAGAGCUCGUAGGCGGUCUGUCGCGUCUGUUGUGAAAGCCCGGGGCUUAACCCCGGGUCUGCAGUGGAUACGGGCAGGCUAGAGGCAGGUAGGGGAGAACGGAAUUCCCGGUGUAGCGGUGAAAUGCGCAGAUAUCGGGAGGAACACCGGUGGCGAAGGCGGUUCUCUGGGCCUGUACUGACGCUGAGGAGCGAAAGCGUGGGGAGCGAACAGG
rnacentral:rRNA from 1 species